UACGAAGGGGGCUAGCGUUGUUCGGAAUCACUGGGCGUAAAGCGCGUGUAGGCGGCCCACUAAGUCUGAUGUGAAAGCCCGGGGCUCACCCCCGGAAGUGCAUUGGAAACUGGUGGACUCGAGUCCCGGAGAGGAGAGUGGAAUUCCUGGUGUAGCGGUGAAAUGCGCAGAUAUCAGGAAGAACACCCGUGGCUAAGGCGGCUCUCUAGUACGGUACUGACGCUGAGACGCGAAAGCGUGGGGAGCGAACAGG
rnacentral:rRNA from 1 species